rnacentral:rRNA from 1 species
GACGAACGCUGGCGGCGUGCUUAACACAUGCAAGUCGAACGGAAAGGCCCUGCUUUUGUGGGGUGCUCGAGUGGCGAACGGGUGAGUAACACGUGAGUAACCUGCCCUUGACUUUGGGAUAACUUCAGGAAACUGGGGCUAAUACCGGAUAGGAGCUCCUGCUGCAUGGUGGGGGUUGGAAAGUUUCGGCGGUUGGGGAUGGACUCGCGGCUUAUCAGCUUGUUGGUGGGGUAGUGGCUUACCAAGGCUUUGACGGGUAGCCGGCCUGAGAGGGUGACCGGCCACAUUGGGACUGCGAUACGGCCCAGACGCCUACGGGAGGCAGCAGUGGGGAAUAUUGCACAAUGGGCGGAAGCCUGAUGCAGCAACGCCGCGUGCGGGAUGACGGCCUUCGGGUUGUAAACCGCUUUCGCCUGUGACGAAGCGGGAGUGACGGUAAUGGGUAAAGAAGCACCGGCUAACUACGUG